CGGAGGGAUCAUUAUCGAGUUUACAACUCCCAAACCCUUAUGUGAACAUACCUACUGUUGCUUCGGCGGACUCGCCCCGGCGUCCGGACGGCCUCGCGCCGCCCGCGGCCCGGACCCAGGCGGCCGCCGGAGACCCCCAAACUCUGUAUUAUCAGCAUUUUCUGAAUCCGCCGCAAGGCAAAACAAAUGAAUCAAAACUUUCAACAACGGAUCUCUUGGUUCUGGCAUCGAUGAAGAACGCAGCGAAAUGCGAUAAGUAAUGUGAAUUGCAGAAUUCAGUGAAUCAUCGAAUCUUUGAACGCACAUUGCGCCCGCCAGCAUUCUGGCGGGCAUGCCUGUUCGAGCGUCAUUUCAACCCUCGACUUCCCUUUGGGGAAAUCGGCGUUGGGGAACGGCAGCAUACCGCCGGCCCCGAAAUGAAGUGGCGGCCCGUCCGCGGCGACCUCUGCGUAGUAAUCCAACUCGCACCGGAACCCCGACGUGGCCACGCCGUAAAACACCCAACUUCUGAACGUUGACCUCGGAUCAGGUAGGAAUACCCGCUGAACUUAAGCAUAUCAAUAAGCGGAGGAAAAGAAACCAACAGGGAUUGCCCCAGUAACGGCGAGUGAAGCGGCAACAGCUCAAAUUUGAAAUCUGGCCCUUGGGUCCGAGUUGUAAUUUGUAGAGGAUGCUUUUGGCGAGGUGCCUUCCGAGUUCCCUGGAACGGGACGCCAUAGAGGGUGAGAGCCCCGUCUGGUCGGACACCGAGCCUCUGUAAAGCUCCUUCGACGAGUCGAGUAGUUUGGGAAUGCUGCUCAAAAUGGGAGGUAUAUGUCUUCUAAAGCUAAAUAUUGGCCAGAGACCGAUAGCGCACAAGUAGAGUGAUCGAAAGAUGAAAAGCACUUUGAAAAGAGGGUUAAAAAGUACGUGAAAUUGUUGAAAGGGAAGCGCCUAUGACCAGACUUGGGCCCGGUGAAUCAUCCAGCGUUCUCGCUGGUGCACUUUGCCGGGCACAGGCCAGCAUCAGUUUGGCGCGGGGGAAAAAGGCUUUGGGAAUGUGGCUCCCUCGGGAGUGUUAUAGCCCAUUGUGUAAUACCCUGCGCCGGACUGAGGUACGCGCAUUGCAAGGAUGCUGGCGUAAUGGUCA
rnacentral:sRNA from 1 species